rnacentral:rRNA from 1 species
UGGGGAAUAUUGCACAAUGGGCGCAAGCCUGAUGCAGCAACGCCGCGUGAGGGAUGACGGCCUUCGGGUUGUAAACCUCUUUUAGUAGGGAAGAAGCGAAAGUGACGGUACCUGCAGAAAAAGCACCGGCUAACUACGUGCCAGCAGCCGCGGUAAUACGUAGGGUGCGAGCGUUGUCCGGAAUUAUUGGGCGUAAAGAGCUCGUAGGCGGUCUGUCGCGUCUGCUGUGAAAACCCGAGGCUCAACCUCGGGCCUGCAGUGGGUACGGGCAGACUAGAGUGCGGUAGGGGAGAAUGGAAUUCCUGGUGUAGCGGUGGAAUGCGCAGAUAUCAGGAGGAACACCGAUGGCGAAGGCAGUUCUCUGGGCCGUAACUGACGCUGAGGAGCGGAAGCGUGGGGAGCGAACAGGAUUAGAUACCCUGGUAGUCCACGCCGUAAACGUUGGGCGCUAGAUGUGGGGACCAUUCCACGGUUUCCGUGUCGCAGCUAACGCAUUAAGCGCCCCGCCUGGGGAGUACGGCCGCAAGGCUAAAA